AUGAAAAGUAGCCCUAUUUUUGAUAGUGUUAGGGAGCUUUUGCAUCUUUGCAUCUGAAGCUUUUGAAACCCCAGUUCACUGAAAUUGCAUGCAGACAACAUGAAAGGCUGUUUCGUUCUGUGAUCCACGAAAGAAAGAGUUGAGCGACGUGAGGGCAUGGUCCAGCCACUCCUGAACAAUGUCACAUCCAGGUGAACUCAAGAUUACCAGCUCCAAAGCUGACAGGAGGCCAUACUACACGAACACUGGGGUUUGAAAUCUGUCUGUGUAGGAUGUUGGCUGCUCAGUGACAGUACUUCCUUUUAUUGCCUCAGUAAGUCUCACAUGCAUAUGCACACAGCUGGCAUAUAAUGUUCCCACAAAUAUCUAACUAAUAAUUGAUGGCCUUACACACAUAUACAUACACAUACUGCACUAGGGCUGCAUAAAAAAAAAAAGAUUUUAUAAU